GGUUCUAUGGUGUAAUGGUUAGCACUUUGGACUCUGAAUCCAGCGAUCCAAGUUCAAAUCCCGGUAGGACCU
rnacentral:tRNA from 1 species